AGCAGCCGCGGUAAUUCCAGCUCCAAUAGCGUAUAUUAAAGUUGUUGCAGUUAAAAAGCUCGUAGUUGAAUUUCGGGAUCAAUUGAUUGGUCAUGCCUUGGUAUGUACUGGUCAUAUUGGUUCUCACCUUCUAAUGAACCACAAUGUCAUUUACUUGAUGUUAUGGGGAAUUAGGACUGUUACCUUGAAAAAAUUAGAGUGUUUAAAGCAGGCUUACGCUUGAAUACAUUAGCAUGGAAUAAUGAAAUAGGACAUCGCAUUCUAUUUUGUUGGUUUCUAGGAUCGAUGUAAUGAUUAAUAGGGAUAGUUGGGGGCAUUAGUAUUCAAUUGUCAGAGGUGAAAUUCUUGGAUUUAUUGAAGACUAACUACUGCGAAAGCAUUUGCCAAGGAUGUUUUCAUUAAUCAAGAACGAAAGUUAGGGGAUCGAAGACGAUCAGAUACCGUCGUAGUCUUAACCAUAAACUAUGCCGACUAGGGAUCGGAUGAUGUUGAUUUUUAAAUGACUCAUUCGGCACCUUAC
rnacentral:rRNA from 1 species